rnacentral:rRNA from 1 species
AACAAGGAUUCCCCUAGUAACGGCGAGUGAAGCGGGAAGAGCUCAAAUUUGAAAUCUGGUAGCCUUCGGUUGCCCGAGUUGUAAUCUAGAGAAGUGUUUUCCGUGCCGGCCCAUGUACAAGUCCCUUGGAACAGGGCGUCAUAGAGGGUGAGAAUCCCGUCCUUGACAUGGACCCCCGGUGCUUUGUGAUACACUUUCAACGAGUCGAGUUGUUUGGGAAUGCAGCUCAAAAUGGGUGGUGAAUUCCAUCUAAAGCUAAAUAUUGGCGAGAGACCGAUAGCGAACAAGUACCGUGAGGGAAAGAUGAAAAGCACUUUGGAAAGAGAGUUAAACAGUACGUGAAAUUGUUGAAAGGGAAACGAUUGAAGUCAGUCAUGCUCUUUGGUAUUUAUAUCAUUGAGUGGGGUCAACAUCAGUUUUGAUCGAUGGAUAAAGGCACUAGGAAGGUAGCACUCUCGGGUGAACUUAUAGCCUAGCGUCAUAUACAUUGAUUGGGACUGAGGAACGCAGCAUGCCUUUAUGGCCGGGAUUCGUCCACGUACAUGCUUAGGAUGUUGA